rnacentral:lncRNA from 1 species
UAAGUUUGAUACACUCUUGUUUCAAGCCUUGAAAACAGCCUCUGGCACAAAUGCAAGGUAAGGCUGCGUAUAAUGCACCCUUGUGGUGAGGUCCUUCUCCGAACCCUGCGCAUAGCGAGAGCUUUAGUGCACCGAUCUGCCUUUUUAGUUUGACUCGUUACUAUAUUUAAAUGAGUAAUGGAGAACUUUGAGACUUGUGUUUUAAACAUGUCAUAACAUAUGUCUCGUUAACUAAGGGAAGAAUGAAAGUGUUAAGUUAAAUUAUUACUACAAUAAAACAAGAAGUAACCAUGAAAUACGUCGUUGCACGUGUAUUGAAUCAUCAAAAAAUGCAUUAUUUCUGAAAGAUUUGACAUUAGUGCGACAUGACUUUUGGAGGAACAAGCAACAUAUGCUAAUGGCAAUUGGUAAAGUUAAAUUAAAUUAUUUUCAAAUAUUGAAAACAAUUAUUCUUUUUUCUAAAUAAACUUUUUUUUUUAAAUGUUGCCCCAUGAAAUAAAUUAGAUGGACCUUUUCCUUUCAAAAAUCUUGAAUGAGUAGGGGCAAAGCUACGAGAGUUUGGCAGAACUCAAUAGUUUCGAUCAAAAUUUAUGUAAUUUCUUUAAGAAAUUUACUUAAUAUAUAGAGAAAAACAUCUAGUACUCCUCUAAAUUAUGAUCAAACUUUCUAUUACGCACUUCAACUUCAUGAGGUUCUAUUACCUUCGAACUAAAUUUUAGCAUAUUUUUAGCUUGCGUGACAUCUUUUGUCAACCUUUUUAGCUGAAAUGACACUUUUAAUGUGGGCUUCGUUUUAUAUAAUAAAGGUGUAACAUCAGACAAAAGGGUGAUAAAAAUAUGCUAAAAUUGAGUUCAGAAAGGUAAAAGGCUCCCUGUGAAAUUGGAGCGUGUUGUAACAACUUUGAUCAAGCAGAUUUUUUCCUUUUAGCGUUUAAAACUCGUUAACUCAAAAUUCUGACUCCGCCUCCGAAAUUGCAGGACACAAAUAGUGCGGUGGCCACCAGUGAGAUCAUAUAGGAAGAGCACAUUACAAACUACUACAAAGAUAUUAGAAGCUCAUGAAGAUCAAUGUGGAAUUUAUGUGAAAAUUAGCAUGGAUGGAGCACCUUUUCUUAGAACAAUUGAUCUUAAAAUGUUACAAUGAGCUUUUUAAAGCAAUGGAGAAAAUGUUCAAACUUAAUGAAGGCUAUAAAGGGUCAGAAGGCAUUUUAUAAGUUAAAAAGGUUGACAAAAGGUACCACGUCAGCUAAAAAAGAUGACAAAAAUAUGCUAAAAUUUAAUUCAAAAAAGUAAUAAAAUCCCGUAAAGUUGGAAGGUGUUGUAGCAAAGUUGGUCAUAAUUUUGGUGCUAAUUAAAUGCUUUACUCUUAAAAAUAAUUACACAAUCAGGUUAUUUAUAACGUACUUGUAAAUAAAUACAUAUAAUUGAUUAACAUGUUAUAUACACGUAAGUCGCGUAAAAAAAUCUUUAUAGUGUCAACCAACCAACCAACCAACCAAGAACAAUUGUCGUCAAAAAUAAGGGAUAAGCAUUCAGUACCCCCUCGAACUAUGAUCAAAGUUGCUACGCCAUAUUCUAACUUCACAGGGGUUUUAUUAUUCCCCUAAACUCAAUUUUAGCGCAUUUAUGUGAUACUUUUAUUACAUAAAAUGAAGCCUACGUCACCCAAAAAGGUUGACAAAAUGUGUCACGUCAACAUAAAAGGGUGACAAAAAUAUGCUAAAAUUUAGUUCAGAAAGGUAAUAAAAACCCCGUGAAGCUGGAAUGUGUUGUAGCAAAUUUGAGAAUACGCUAAAAUUUAGUUCAGGAUGGUAAUAAAACUCCCAUAAAGUUGGAGCGUGUUGUAGCAAAUUUGGUACUAUAUGCUUUACUCUUAAAAAUAAUUACACAAUCAAGUCAUUUAUAAGGUAAUUGUAAAUAAAUACAUAUGAUUGACUAUAUUCAUACUAUAGAUAGUUGUUGAUCCAAUAAGAAUGAUAAUUGUUUAACAUGUUAUAUACGUAAGUUGCAUAAAAAAUCUUUAUAGUGUCGAUGUAUAGUUGGAGACGUUCCUUGGAAGUAAGUUCUUGAAUCUUGAACAACCAAGGGCGUUGAGUAUUACGUGCGGGUUCUCGGGCAGUGGCGGAGCCAAGAUUUUAAUUGAGGGAGUUCAUAAGUAAAUAUAUGAACCAGUCGAAGGGGAUUCAGCCUCUACUAUAUAUGAAUAAAUAAUAUAUACAACUAUGUAAAAAUAGUAUAAUUUUCCGUCAAAGGAGAUUCGGAUGAACCCCUGAAACACAUGUGGCUCCGCCCCUGUUCCGUCAAAGGGGGUUAUAUACUAUCGAUGUAUAUAACUUAAUGAAUUUUUUUUUUCAUGACUAUAGCAGAAUGUUUAUGGUAUAAUGCAAAAGGUUGAGGAUAAUUAUUGUAAUCAAUCAAACAGAAAAAAAGAUACUUAGUAACUAUAAUUAGUUCUUUUAAAAAUAUAUAUAUAAUCACAGCGACAACAACAUUUUUGAUGUAUUCCCACAUAGUGGGGUCUGGAGAGGGUUGAGUAUACGCAGACCAUACCACUAACUCAGGUAAAGUAGAGAGGUUGUUUCCGAUAGACCCCCUCAGCUUAGGAUCAAUAACAGUAUAACAAACACAAAAGAUAAGUGCAUAUAAACUAGUACGGUAUGUAAAAUAAACGAACAAUAUAACAAACACAAAAGAUAAGUGCAUAUAAACUAGUACGGUAUGUAAAAUAAACUAACAUCGCUAACCACAAGAUAAUACUACAGCCACAACACCACGAACAAGAAACUCCAGACACAAAAGAACGCUCCCCAACUAUUACCGACGCACUCCCACUCCCUAACCCUCUACCCUAAUCCGCGUCCUCCACACCUUCCUAUCAAGGGUCGUGUCCUCCGUAAGCUGUAAGUGCUCCAUAUCAUGCUUAAUCACAAAAUAUUUAGAAAUCAGUAGUCCAAUUAAUUCAGAUUCACGUCGUGUUUUGAAGGUGCAACACUCCCUAUAAUAUAACAACUAUUGAUACUUGGUAUAUUGAACUAAAUUAAACUAUUUUUAAUGUAAAAUAAUACACAAAUUUGGAAUUAUAAUGAUUUCUUUAUUACUUCAUAAUUUCUUCAAUGAUUUUUUUUGGUAAAUUAGAUAUGCCUAAUAAAACAUAUAUGGCUUGUUAUAAUUGAAGUUAGAAAAAACUUGCAAACACACAUAUGUGGCUUGCUACCCAACUAAUUAACAUUAUGAUUUGUUGUAAUUUCAAAAUAUAUGAGGUAACAAGAAGUAAUUAACUAAUUAAUUGGCAGAUUGUUGCUUUAAAAUAUCAUGAAUCACCAAACUUCUUUUUUUUUUUACUUAUACGUCACACAAAGAUAAUUUUAUCGUUGCGUCCAUGCUCCCGCUCAGAUAGACAAACUAUGAAAAAGAAUUGGAAGAAUAGUCCUUUAACUUGACCUCAGUUUCAUUUAUGCCCUCCAAUUUUGUAUGUGUACAAGUAGAUAUUUAAACUCGUAUAGAGUUGAACAAAUAGAUAAAUGCGUCUUACGUUGUAAUACCGCGUCCCAUGUGUAUUAUACCACGUAGGGCGAGCGUAUCUACUUAUUCAUUUCUAUAUAAGUUUCAGUGCCUUAUUUGUGCACAUCUCAAGUUGGAGGGCAUCGAUACAAGCUGACACCAAUUUAACAAAUGAUUUUAAGUCAGGUUCAACAAAUGUUUUUAAGUUGAGCGCAUACUGUGAUUUGUAAGUCGUCAACAACAACAACAACAACAUAUUCAGUGAAAUCCCACAAGUAAAAUCUGGUCUGUCCAGAGAAGGCAGAGUGUACGUAGACUUUACCAUUACUUCAUGAUGGUAGAGAUGUUGUUUUCGAAAGACCAUCGACUCAAGUCGAGGUCUACAAAUAUUUAUAAGUUGGAGUAAAGAGUCUCACUUUAAGGGGUAUGGUAUUGUCACGAUUUGAACCAUGGCCUAGUCGUGACGGAUAUUUCAAGCGUACCAUGGACCUGAGACCACUUCCUUAGCCAACCCUUAAGAGUAUAAUAACCAUAAUAAACAGCGGAAGAUAGACAAAUCAUAACAAGAUAGAUAGGACAACUCGAAUGGAAUCUAAGAGUCAAAACAAUAACCAAUCUCAUAUUUGUCCACAAAAGCUUCUACAAUACCACAAUAUCAAAUUAGGUCGGGACAUGCCCCCAACCUUGACCAAAAGAAUCCAAAGUAAGAUACUAAAGAAACAUAAUGAAACUAAAGAAAUGACAGGCCUUCCGGAAGAUGGAGUCUCACCACUUCAAAGCAGACCAACCGACGAACCGUAUCAUCUAACAUUGCACACGACAAAUAGAAAAUUCCUAGAAUCCUAUAUCAUGAAACGAUGCAGCGUCCGGAGACGGUUAGUGGGAUGAGCACUAGCAUGUCACUCGGGAAAAGGAUAAAAUAAUGCCAUGUCCAAAUUCAAUCAAAACCACGUGUACAUGUUCACAUACAUACAUACAUACAUAUGUAUAUAUAUAUAUAUAUAUAUAUAUAUAUAUAAGAUGCCGGGAUAGGAAUCAGGGUUAUAAACAUGAGGGCUUAAAACCAUUAACCUGACUGUGUAGUUCUAUCCGUCUUAAGGGCACCCACGGACUAUAUGGGUUCAACUCUCCCUGCUGAAAGGGCCCAGUGCGUAUAGCCACACGAAUCAGGGAAAUCCAAGGAAGGGCCAAAGCCACCGAAGCUCCAACCAUUUCAAUAAGAUAUAUAAUGUGUGAACUAUGCACACGGUCAUAUAUAUUCCCCUCUCCGACAAACAUGGUUUUUUCAAUAUCAGUCCCCCCGGGACCUCCACCUUCACGGCGAGCUACACAACCCCUAUUAAGUCCAAAUUAAAAUAUUUGCACAUAAUUUCAAUCCGUUAACCCCAGGAGUCAUUCGUUACCAUUGGUCUCGUCAUAGCAAUUAUAUUAUGCUUGCAAGCUAACCAUUCAUUUCAUUCCAAAAUCAAUUAUCCAAUUUGACUCCCAAAUUUCAAUUUAAAACCAAACCAUGGCCACCAAGGUCUUUCAAAAUCGUUUUAUGUUCCAUUAACCUCUUAUGCAAUGCAAAUUUCCAAGAGUAAGUUAAAUUCAUGUAUAUAUCCAUGUUUCAAAACUUAAUUACAAAAGUAGGUUGAGGAUAAUACCAAUUCCAAAUCAAAAUCUAUCCAAUUGGGGAAAUCUACGACCCCAUUCCAUCCACCAUACCCAUGCACCCAAUUAGUUUCAAAUUUUUUUUAUCAAAUAAAGCAUAAGCAAUUCAUUUAAACCAUGAAAUCCAAUUCAAGCAAUAACCAUCCAAAAACCCUCGACCCAAUUGCAAAUCGAACCUUUAAAUCACAUGGAUAAUAAUAAAAAACACAUGCUUUAUAAAAAUUAAGUUAGGGAUGAGAGAUAUAUCUGGAUACCGAAGAUAUUUGGAGAGGAAAUCACAAUUUGAACCCUGGAUGCUUAAUCCCUUGAAACCCUAGCUUGUUUUUGACUUUGAUGUUUGAGAGGAGUGACGAGAGGUUUUUGAUUUGAUAAAAGUCGAAAAAGGACCCUUAGGGUGUUUUGAGGUCGUGGGAAUAGUGUUAAGGAGUGAAAAGACCAAUUUGUCCUUAAUUAAAAUGGGCAGGAAAAGGGCUCCCAGUCGCUAUGGGUCGGGUAACGACUCAUGAUGACAGGUCACGAGUCGUUGCCUGAGCAGAAACUUUGGGCAAUCACACUGACAUGACCAUGAGUCGUACAUCACGACUUGUUACCAAACUCCACGACUCGUGACG